UACGUAGGGUGCAAGCGUUGUCCGGAUUUAUUGGGCGUAAAGAGCGUGUAGGCGGCUAUACAGGUCCGUUGUGAAAACUCGAGGCUCAACCUCGAGACGCCGAUGGAAACCGUAUGGCUAGAGUCCGGAAGAGGAGAGCGGAAUUCCUGGUGUAGCGGUGAAAUGCGCAGAUAUCAGGAAGAACACCCGUGGCGAAGGCGGCUCUCUGGGACGGUACUGACGCUGAGACGCGAAAGCGUGGGGAGCGAACAGG
rnacentral:rRNA from 1 species